AGGGUUAACGCCCGAAGUGGCCGCAGAGAAUAGGCCCAAGCGACUGUUUACCAAAAACACAGGUCUCUGCUAAAUCGAAAGAUGAUGUAUAGGGGCUGACGCCUGCCCGGUGCUGGAAGGUUAAGGGGAUGUGUUAGGUUAUCCGAAGCACUGAACUUAAGCCCCAGUAAACGGCGGCCGUAACUAUAACGGUCCUAAGGUAGCGAAAUUCCUUGUCGGGUAAGUUCCGACCCGCACGAAAGGCGUAACGAUUUGGGCACUGUCUCAACAAGGGACUCGGUGAAAUUGUAAUUCCAGUGAAGAUGCUGGAUACCUGCGACAGGACGGAAAGACCCCAUGGAGCUUUACUGUAGCUUGACAUUGGAUUCCGAUGCUACAUGUACAGGAUAGGUGGGAGGCUGAGAAGCCGGGACGCAAGUCUCGGUGGAGCCACCCUUGGGAUACCACCCUUGUAGUAUUGGGAUUCUAACCACAGACCGUGAAUCCGGUCUUGGGACACUGUCAGGUGGGCAGUUUGACUGGGGCGGUCGCCUCCUAAAAAGUAACGGAGGCGCCCAAAGGUUCCCUCAGCACGGUCGGAAAUCGUGCCAAGAGUGUAAAGGCAAAAGGGAGCUUGAUUGCAAGACAUACAGGUCGAGCAAGGACGAAAGUCGGGCUUAGUGAUCCGGUGGUUCCGAGUGGAAGGGCCAUCGCUCAACGGAUAAAAGCUACCCUGGGGAUAACAGGCUGAUCUCCCCCAAGAGUCCACAUCGACGGGGAGGUUUGGCACCUCGAUGUCGGCUCAUCACAUCCU
rnacentral:ncRNA from 1 species